GUGGGGAAUAUUGGACAAUGGGGGCAACCCUGAUCCAGCCAUGCCGCGUGUGUGAAGAAGGCCUUCGGGUUGUAAAGCACUUUUGUCCGGGAAGAAAUCUCACGAUUUAAUACGUCGGGAGGAUGACGGUACCGGAAGAAUAAGCACCGGCUAACUUCGUGCCAGCAGCCGCGGUAAUACGAAGGGUGCAAGCGUUACUCGGAAUUACUGGGCGUAAAGCGUGCGUAGGUGGUUCGUUAAGUCUGCCGUGAAAGCCCCGGGCUCAACCUGGGAAUUGCGGUGGAUACUGGCGGACUAGAGUGCGGUAGAGGGUGGUGGAAUUCCCGGUGUAGCAGUGAAAUGCGUAGAGAUCGGGAGGAACAUCUGUGGCGAAGGCGGCCACCUGGACCAGCACUGACACUGAGGCACGAAAGCGUGGGGAGCAAACAGGAUUAGAAACCCGGGUAGUCC
rnacentral:rRNA from 1 species